GCUUACAGUCAUACCACCCUCACCAAGCCCAAUAUUAUCUGAUCAUGAAAGGUAAGCAGGGGUGGACUCUGGUUAGCACUUAGAUUGGAGACCACCUGGGAAUCUCCCUGAGCC
rnacentral:rRNA from 1 species